AACUGCACACAGUUCAAUGAAUUUUUUAAAAACAUAUAUUGUAAAUUAUGUAAGAAUAAUAUACGAAUAAUGAACAGAUCCUUAAGUAUGUACAAAUUAUAUACGAUUUAUAAAACAAUUUGACACCGUGUGAAAUAUUUCAAACAGGUCUGUUAAUUAUUCGUAGUAACGCUUAAAUAUUUUAUCUAUCUUAUUUAUAUCUCGAAGAAGACUCAUUCGUCGGUCAAUCGUGUCUGUGAGAAAGACAAGAUAUUUCACGUUCUAGCUUUUAACGAGCCUCGAUUGAAUAUAAUUGACAGUUUUAAUCUCUUUAAUAAGCGAGCACGAUCGUCUAAAGGCGCCGUCAUAAUAAUCACCCAACUUACAAGAGAGAAACUAUCAUUUAUAAAUACAACUGACAAAUUUAUUUCUUUACUCUUUUUUACCCCCCGUUUUCCGUUGGAAUAGAAACGAAUAAAUAAAGGAAAAAACAUCUUAAAAUAAAUACAGGAAGGGGGAAUACUUUGUAAUAUAUCGCACGUUUCGUGAAAGAAAUUCCCAUUAGAAUAAUAUAAACUAAUGAAAGAUAUAAUCCGUAGGUUGAGAAAAGGGAAAAGAAAAAAUAAAAAUCCUCGGUCAUCGUCAUCAUCAUCAUCAUCAUCGCCAUCAAGAACAACGACUUGGCGUGUGUCUGGUGCUGAUAGUUAGACGUCCGACGACCGUGAUGUUGCCGACCGAUUUAAUGGUGGUGGGGUAGAAGAAAUACUUGGGAGUGGUGCUGAGAAUGGUUUGAAUGGGGGUAAGAAGACGCCGGGGGAACCUUUGGAGUAGGGAUUUAAGCGGAAGUGAUGGGGGUAAUCAAGAGGCACGUUGCCCUUGGACGCGCAGUGCCAGUCGGGAACGAAGAGUCUUUGCAAUAGGACUUCAGUGUCGGAGCAACUGGUCCAUCGUGUCUCAUAAAGACCGGGAUAAUAUACAAAGCACGUGGUGAGGAAUGUAAUCUCCGAUGAGAAUCACCGAAUCUCUAACCGUGUACGCAGCGUUAAACAUCUCAACAGGUAUAUUAACGUCAACGUGAAAAGAAGAUACGCGCGUACCGGCAACUUCUAAGAG
rnacentral:lncRNA from 1 species